rnacentral:rRNA from 1 species
UACAGAGGGUGCAAACGUUGUUCGGAUUUACUGGGCGUAAAGCGCGUGUAGGCUGCUUCGCAAGUCGGAUGUGAAAGCCCUGGGCUCAACCCAGGAAGUGCAUUCGAAACUGCAGAACUGGAGUCCUGGAGAGGAAGGCGGAAUUCUCGGUGUAGAGGUGAAAUUCGUAGAUAUCGAGAGGAACACCGGUGGCGAAGGCGGCCUUCUGGACAGUGACUGACGCUGAGACGCGAAAGCGUGGGGAGCAAACAGG